AUUGAACGCUGGCGGCAGGCCUAACACAUGCAAGUCGAGCGGAUGAAGGGAGCUUGCUCCUGGAUUCAGCGGCGGACGGGUGAGUAAUGCCUAGGAAUCUGCCUGGUAGUGGGGGAUAACGUCCGGAAACGGGCGCUAAUACCGCAUACGUCCUGAGGGAGAAAGUGGGGGAUCUUCGGACCUCACGCUAUCAGAUGAGCCUAGGUCGGAUUAGCUAGUUGGUGGGGUAAAGGCCUACCAAGGCGACGAUCCGUAACUGGUCUGAGAGGAUGAUCAGUCACCACUGAAAUUAGGCACGGUUCCGAAUCCUUACGGAAGCCGCAGGUGGGAAUUUUGGACCAUUGGCGAAAACCUUAUUCCGCCAUGGCGCGGGGUUGAAGGAAGUCUUUCGAUUGUUAAGCCCUUUUAAGUGGGAGGAAGGGCAGUAAGUUAAUACCUUGCUGUUUUGACGUUACCAACAGAAUAAGCACCGGCUAACUUCGUG
rnacentral:rRNA from 1 species